rnacentral:lncRNA from 1 species
GGACGUUCCAACACGUUGGAAUUCGACGGUGGAUAUGGUCAAGCGUCUGAACCGCAAUCAAGCAGCAAUAAAAGCAACCCUGGACCAACAGCAGCACAAACUCAUUAUGCUGACACCACCAGAAUGGGACAAGGUGCAAAGACUUGAGACUCUUCUAGAGCCCUGUCGGUAUGUAACUGAGAUCCUGGGUGGGGAGGCCUAUGUAUCCUGCUCUGUUGUACUGCCUGCCCUCUGCCACUUGCGUCGUGUAAUGGAGGUCUCUGAUGAGGAC